AUUGAACGCUGGCGGCAGGCCUAACACAUGCAAGUCGAGCGAGCGGCGGACGGGUGAGUAAUGUAUGGGGACUGCCCGAUAGAGUGGGCUAACUACUGGAAACGGUAGCUAAUACCGCAUACUAUCGGAUAACCCAUAUGGGAUUAGCUAGUAGGUGAGGUAAUGGCUCACCUAGGCGACGAUCCCUAGCUGGUCUGAGAGGAUGAACAGCCACACAGGGACGGAGACACGGCCGAGACUCCUACGGAGGCAGCAGUGGGGAAUAUGGCACAAGGGGCGCAAGCCUGAUGAAGCCAUGCCGCGUGUAUGAAGAAGGCCCGAGGGUGGUAAAGUACUUUCAGGCGGGAGGCGUUACCGACAGAAGAAGCACCGGCUAACUCCGUGCCAGCCGCCGCGGUAAUUC
rnacentral:rRNA from 1 species